UGAAAAGCCCUAUAAAAUGGUUUGCCUGAGUGUUUCUCUUACCUACGUUCCUCAGUUCUAUCAAAUUCAAGGCUAGUUUAACAUCGUGCAUUUUUGGCGAACUCGGACCCCCUUCCUCGUGUUCAUCUCUACAACCGUUUGGCAAUUCACACCAAAUUAUAGCUGAUGCCUUGAGAGGCCACGGCUCCCCACUCUCUAGAAGUCAGCACACUUUCGUUCCUCUGGAACCCCUCAUUCAAGGUCACCAACAGUGUAUCUCCUGACCGUUUCUUCGAGAACUCUCAGCAAGUCCCAGGAUGAAGUCACCAAGAGAAGAGAGUAGAAGGCAUCAGAAAGCAGGAAGCCUGGAGCCUGAGGUACCAUGUCUGAGGCCUGCCUGGCCUUUGGACCCUCGCUAGGCUGCCGACGUCCCAUGUGUUGUCCCAGCCUGUAACACAAUACAGUGGGUCAGGCUUAACAUUCCAAGCACACUUCAUCUAACACCAAGGCUCCAGAAUUGGACUGCCCAUUCUCAGAUUAUCUCUUCUGGUCAAGUGCUUCUAUAAAUGAGUGAUCACAUUUAUUGCA